rnacentral:rRNA from 1 species
CCUACGGGAGGCAGCAGUGGGGAAUAUUGGGCAAUGGGCGCAAGCCUGACCCAGCAACGCCGCGUGAAGGAAGAAGGCUUUCGGGUUGUAAACUUCUUUUAAGAGGGAAGAGCAGGAGACGGUACCUCUUGAAUAAGCCACGGCUAACUACGUGCCAGCAGCCGCGGUAAUACGUAGGUGGCAAGCGUUGUCCGGAUUUACUGGGUGUAAAGGGCGUGCAGCCGGGAAGACAAGGCAGAUGUGAAAUCCCGCGGCUCAACCGCGGAACUGCAUUUGAAACUGUUUUUCUUGAGUACUGGAGAGGCAGACGGAAUUCCUUGUGUAGCGGUGAAAUGCGUAGAUAUCAGGAGGAACACCAGUGGCGAAGGCGGUCUGCUGGACCGCAACUGACGGUGAGGCGCGAAAGCGUGGGGAGCAAACAGGAUUAGAUACCCGGGUAGUC